rnacentral:rRNA from 1 species
GAUGAACGCUGGCGGCGUGCCUAAUACAUGCAAGUCGAACGCUGGAGAUCUAGCUUGCUAGAUCGAAGGAGUGGCGAACGGGUGAGUAAUACAUAAGCAACCUACCCACGAAGACUGGGAUAAUCUCUGGAAACGGGGACUAAUACCGGAUAGGUAAUCGGAAGGCAUCUUCUGGUUAUUAAAGGUUAAAAACACUGGUGGAUGGGCUUAUGGCGCAUUAGUUAGUUGGUGAGGUAACGGCCCACCAAGACGAUGAUGCGUAGCCGGCCUGAGAGGGUGAACGGCCACAUUGGGACUGAGACACGGCCCAGACUCCUACGGGAGGCAGCAGUAGGGAAUGUUCGGCAAGGGGGGCAACCCUGACCGAGCAACGCCGCGUGAGUGAAGACGGCCUUCGGGUUGUAAAGCUCUGUUGUAAGGGAAGAACGGUAGAUAGAGAAUAUCUAAGUGACGGUACCUUACCAGAAAGCCACGGCUAACUACGUG